AACGAACGCUGGCGGCAGGCCUAACACAUGCAAGUCGAGCGGACCUUUCGGGGUCAGCGGCGGACGGGUGAGUAACGCGUGGGAAUAUGCCCUUCUCUACGGAAUAGUCCUGGGAAACUGGGGGUAAUACCGUAUACGCCCUUUGGGGGAAAGAUUUAUCGGGGAAGGAUUAGCCCGCGUUGGAUUAGGUAGUUGGUGGGGUAAUGGCCUACCAAGCCGACGAUCCAUAGCUGGUUUGAGAGGAUGAUCAGCCACACUGGGACUGAGACACGGCCCAGACUCCUACGGGAGGCAGCCGUGGGGAAUCUUAGACAAUGGGGGCAACCCUGAUCUAGCCAUGCCGCGUGAGUGAUGAAGGCCUUAGGGUUGUAAAGCUCUUUCAGCUGGGAAGAUAAUGACGGUACCAGCAGAAGAAGCCCCGGCUAACUCCGUG
rnacentral:rRNA from 1 species